UCGUGCUAGGCGGGGAGUUAGCGGUGCCCUGUACCCGCAAUCCGCUACAGCGGGGCGUAAUCCCCUUCCAGAGGCUCAAUGUGAUAGACCCCUGCGUCGGUAUUGGGAUGGUGACGACCGGGUCCCACGCGGCAUAGACUUGUGAACCCCGCCAGGUCCGGAAGGAAGCAACGGUAAAUGAGAUCCUAUGGGUGCCGUGGGAGUGCCUAGUUUGAGUUCCGGUUUUGAUACAUGUCUAUUACACUUAGUCGAAGAAGGGUGCACGG
rnacentral:SRP_RNA from 2 species